UCUGCGUGGCGGCGAGCGUAGACUUCCCCGCGCGAUUUCAGGCAAUCAACCGGCUUGUUUCUCUAAAGCUGAAAAUUAUGGAUAGAUUGACGGAGUCUUCGAAAGAGUACCAGAGGAUGAUAACAAAUAUCGAGAAACUUACAGAAGAAUCUUUACAGUUGGCUUCACACCAGAAAAAAAUGGUGGAACACAAAGUUGUGCUUACAAAGCUUUGCAAUAAUUUCGAUGAGGUUCAGUCAAGACUGGAACGAAUAGCAGCAGUGAAACCUGGUUGCACAUUACUAAAGUAUUGACAUUUUUGACAACAUCAAGUUACAAAAGCUAAGACCGUAGUAUUAAGCUGAUUUAUCUGGAAUAGUUCACUUUUGAUACAAGUGAAUUUUCAAAGCCAUUUUUUACAUUUAAUUGUUCACAUGAAAUGUUACUAAAUUUUGAAUCUGUGUUGCAAUUUAAAUGGUGCAAUAAAGUUUAUUCAAGUU